GUGGAGCUGCUGCCUCGCCUCCUCACCUCUGACGUGGCCACACUACACCAACUCACACACACGUCCACGAUAAUCCAAGCUAUUUAAGAGAAGUGUAUUAUGAGGGACUUCUCUCGGCAGUAGUUUGUACAGGAGUUAUAGAGGGAGGGAGGGGGACGUUUAUGCUGUAUAGGCCUAGUUUGUCCAGGAGUUAUAGUGGGACGUUUAUGCUGUAUAGGCCUAGUGUCUCGGCAGUAGUUUGUCUAGGAGUUAUAGAGUGAGGGAGGGGGACGUUUAUGCUGUAUAGGCCUAGUGAAGCAACGUUUAAUGCCCUACACAUGAUACACACUUGACCCUUACUCAGGGCCGGAUUUAGGCAUAAGCUAAACAAGCCUCACAGUCUGAAGGGGCCUCUCAAAACUUAAGAUUUUUUUGCAUUUGUUAGUUUUAUUAUAAUUUAUAUUUAAGUAAUGAUUCAACCUAAUUAACAUGCAACUAAUUAUGCUAUACAUCUAUAGGCUGACUGAGAAGAAGUGUCCCCCCCCCCUCCCCCAGUUUAAUAAAAAAUUAUAGGCCCUUUUGAAGAUUGGGGCCCCAUAGUUAUAUUUCUGAGCCCCUGAAAUUUUAACAUUAACAUAAAGCAUUAUAUUAUAUACUGUACAUGUAACUGGGUAUAUAACUUUGGGUGAAGUGAGUGGCAAGACGACAAGACAGUAGUGAUAGUGCUACUCCCUGGUGGCUGGGCCCGGCAGUAGGGAUGGUGCCAAGUGGGAACACAGUAGUGACAUGAGUUUCACAUCCUCUGUCGACAGUUCUCAGUAGUGACAUGAGUUUCACAUCCUCUAUCAGCAGUUCUCUUAACCCAAACAAUAACACAAGCCACUGGGUGUGUCACAGUGAGUGGGACUCCUACUGAGAUGUUCCGGGUAGCUUACUGACCUACUGCCAGCUUCCGGUUCUUGUGAGAUUCAGUGAAGCUUCCUAGUGAAUCUACAGUAGAUGUCAAAUGGUGAAGCUGUCCUCUGAACCACACAAAACAGAAGUACAGACGCAUGAUGGUACAGCUGCUCCCCGACUUACAACGGGGUUAGGGACCCAAAUCCAGGUCGUAAGUCGAAA